CCUGGUUGAUCCUGCCAGUAGUCAUAUGCUUGUCUCAAAGAUUAAGCCAUGCAUGUCUAAGUAUAAGCGACUUGUACUGUGAAACUGCGAAUGGCUCAUUAAAUCAGUUAUGGUUUAUUUGAUGGUACCUUACUACUUGGAUAACCGUAGUAAUUCUAGAGCUAAUACAUGCAGGAAUUCCCGACUUCGGAAGGGAUGUAUUUAUUAGAUAAGAAACCAAUCCGGUCUCCGGUUGCGUGCUGAGUCAUAAUAACUGCUCGAAUCGCACGGCUUCACGCCGGCGAUGGUUCAUUCAAAUUUCUGCCCUAUCAGCUUUCGAUGGUAGGAUCGAGGCCUACCAUGGCGUUUACGGGUAACGGAGAAUUAGGGUUCGAUUCCGGAGAGGGAGCCUGAGAGAUGGCUACCACAUCCAAGGAAGGCAGCAGGCGCGUAAAUUGCCCGAAUCCUGACACAGGGAGGUAGUGACAAGAAAUAACAAUACAGGGCUACUUCUAGUCUUGUAAUUGGAAUGAGUACAACUUACAUCUCUUCACGAGGAUCAACUGGAGGGCAAGUCUGGUGCCAGCAGCCGCGGUAAUUCCAGCUCCAGAAGCGUAUAUUAAAGUUGUUGCAGUUAAAACGCUCGUAGUCGGGUUUCGGGUCGGGCCGAGCGGUCUGCCGAUGGGUAUGCACUGUUUGGCGCGGCCUUCUUUCCGGAGACCGCGGCUACUCUUAACUGAGCGGGCGUGGGAGACGGAUCGUUUACUUUGAAAAAAUCAGAGUGUUUCAAGCAGGCAGCUCGCUCUUGCAUGGUACAGCAUGGGAUGAUUGAAUAGGACUCCGGUGCUAUUUUGUUGGUUUCGAACACCAGGAGUAAUGAUUAACAGGGACAGUCAGGGGCACUCGUAUUCCGUCGAGAGAGGUGAAAUUCUCAGACCAAUGGAAGACGAACCACUGCGAAAGCAUUUGCCAGGGAUGUUUUCACUGAUCAAGAACGAAAGUUAGGGGAUCGAAGACGAUCAGAUACCGUCGUAGUCUUAACC
rnacentral:rRNA from 1 species